rnacentral:rRNA from 1 species
AUACGUAGGUGGCAAGCGUUGUCCGGAAUUAUUGGGCGUAAAGCGCGCGCAGGUGGUUCCUUAAGUCUGAUGUGAAAGCCCCCGGCUCAACCGGGGAGGGUCAUUGGAAACUGGGGAACUUGAGUGCAGAAGAGGAUAGUGGAAUUCCAAGUGUAGCGGUGAAAUGCGUAGAGAUUUGGAGGAACACCAGUGGAGAAGGCGACUUUCUGGUCUGUAACUGACACUGAGGCGCGAAAGCGUGGGGAGCAAACAGGAUUAGAUACCCUGGUAGUCCACGCCGUAAACGAUGAGUGCUAAGUGUUGGGGGGUUUCCGCCCCUCAGUGCUGCAGCUAACACAUUAAGCACUCCGCCUGGGGAGUACGGUCGCAAGACUGAAACUCAAAUGAAUUGACGGGG